CUGUACCUAGCCCAAAACAGACAAAAUACAACUAUAUAUGUAUUUAAAACAAAACAUUUACCAUACUAAAGUAUAGGAGAUAGAAAUAUAACCCCGGAGCAAUAGAGAUAGUACCGCAAGGGAAUGAUGAAAGAAAAUACUAAAGCAAUAAAUAGCAAAGAUUACACCUUGUACCUUUGGCAUAAUGAUUUAACUAGACACAUAUUAGCAAAGAGAACUUAAGUUAAUCCCCCCGAAACCAGACGAGCUACUUGUAGACAGCCUUAUAGGGCAAACUCGUCUAUGUGGCAAAAUAGUGAGAUGAUCUACAAAUAGAGGUGAUAAGCCUAUCGAGCCUGGUGAUAGCUGGUUGUCCAAUAAAAGAAUCUAAGUUCUGAUUUAAGCCUACCUUCAAUAAUUACAACUCUACUGUAGACUUAAAACAUAGUCUAAGGGAGGACAGUUCCUUAGACAAAGGAUACAACCUUUACUAGAGAGUAAGUGUAAAAAAUAAACCAUAGUUGGCCUAAAAGCAGCCAUCAAUAAAGAAAGCGUUCAAGCUCAACAAACUAUAUAUAGCUUAAUUCCAAAAUUUAACACCAACUCCUAAUAUUAUUUAUUGGACUAUUCCAUAACUAUAUGGAAGAAAUACUGUUAAUACGAGUAACAAGAAUACUAUUCUCCCGGCACAAGUAUAUAUCAGAACGAAUAAUUCACUGAUAGUUAACGUAUGCCAAGCAAACUAAUAACAAGACCCUUACCACUUAACUACGUUAAUCCAACACAGGAGUGCCCCAGGGAAAGAUUAAAAGGAGUAAAAGGAACUCGGCAAACACAAACCCCGCCUGUUUACCAAAAACAUCACCUCUAGCAUACCCAGUAUUAGAGGCACUGCCUGCCCAGUGACAUAUGUUUAACGGCCGCGGUAUCCUGACCGUGCAAAGGUAGCAUAAUCACUUGUUCUUUAAAUAAGGACUUGUAUGAAUGGCCACACGAGGGUUUAACUGUCUCUUACUCCCAAUCAGUGAAACUGACCUUCCCGUGAAGAGGCGGGGAUAUUAUAAUAAGACGAGAAGACCCUAUGGAGCUUUAAUUAAGCAGUCCAACAGUAAGACAACAAUCCCAAAAGGAACAAAAUAUCUCCUAAUGGACUGACAAUUUCGGUUGGGGUGACCUCGGAGCACAAAAAACCCUCCGAGUAAGUUUAAGCUUAGACCAGCUAGUCCAAGCCACAUAAUUCAUUGAUCCAACUUACUUGAUCAACGGAACAAGUUACCCUAGGGAUAACAGCGCAAUCCUAUUCAAGAGUUCCUAUCGACAAUAGGGUUUACGACCUCGAUGUUGGAUCAGGACAUCCUAAUGGUGCAGUCGCUAUUAAUGGUUCGUUUGUUCAACGAUUAAAGUCCUACGUGAUCUGAGUUCAGACCGGAGUAAUCCAGGUCGGUUUCUAUCUAUUAUAUGCCUCCCCCAGUACGAAAGGACAAGGGAGACAGGGCCUCCUUACAAAAGUGCCCUCAACUUAACAGAUGAUUUAAUCUCAAUCUGAAAAUAUUAUAAAUAACACUGCCCUAGACCAGGGCUU
rnacentral:rRNA from 1 species